rnacentral:lncRNA from 1 species
UGGAUUUGGUGUUGAAGUUCAAGGGAGGAGGAUCAAGUGAUCUUUCAAAUUCCUUUUUCUCUGCUGCUCGAUACAGAAGUGUUUGAUCUCCAACCCAACUUGCUGGGUAUAUAAAUUCUGUCACGUCCAAAAUUCAUUCAAAAAAAUUUAAUUCAUCAAUUUAUCUUAAACGCAAAAUUAGGGCGAUGCAAUUUAGACACUCAAUAUUGACAUGCUGAUAUGCUCUUUGGUACAGGUUAGACACCAAGCUGCACUAGAGAGUGUGUCAGCAAGCGUGUCAGUUUUGUGUGUCCAAAUAAUUUUAUCGACGAAACUACAUCAAACAUAAUAGCAUAAUACAUAACUGACCAAAUCCUUCAUUUGUGUCAAUGCACCUACUGUAGCCUCCUAUGGGAUAAACCACAUCCAGCUUAAGACUCCUACUACUUUCCGGCGACAACCCGAGAAGAAAACUUGUGACUCCGAGAAAAUCAGCACCAAGAGCAACCACAGAAGCUGUCCCUAAACCGAGAAGAAGCCGCCGC